UUGUGCAAAUGCUUCUCAUUGGUGCAAUCUACCAUGCAGGAAAAGGAAGUCUGUGGAACAAGUUUCUUCAGGUCUGCAGCCACUGGCAAUACAGAGAAGAAUGCAAAAAUUAGGUUGAUUCAUGAUGAGAUGUCAACAGGUCAUAUAGCAUGGUUUCUGUCCUUAAGAAGACAUAACUGAAUUCUUCAGAUGCUAGCAUUUACAUGGAGGUGAUUUUUUGUGGUUAAUAUUCUCCAGUGAGCUGCUAUUGAUGUACUCCUUGAUCCAAGCUUCCAGGGUAAAAGGAUAUCUG